GAUGAACGCUAGCGGCAGGCCUAAUACAUGCAAGUCGAGGGGCAGCACGGUAGCAAUACUGGUGGCGACCGGCGCACGGGUGCGUAACACGUAUGCAACCUGCCUUCAACUGGGAGAUAGCCCGGGGAAACUCGGAUUAAUACCCCAUAACACAGUGAAACAGCAUUGUUUAUUGUUAAAGCUCCGGCGGUUGAAGAUGGGCAUGCGUUCGAUUAGCUAGUUGGUGUAGGUAAUGGCUCACCAAGGCUACGAUCGAUAGGGGGUCUGAGAGGAUGAUCCCCCACACUGGUACUGAGAUACGGACCAGACUCCUACGGGAGCAGCAGUAGGGAAUAUUGGUCAAUGGACGCAAGUCUGAACCAGCCAUGCCGCGUGCAGGAAGACGGCCUCUGGGUUGUAACUGCUUUGAUAGGGAACAAACGGUGAGUUCUAAUAAGCUUGCUAAUGACG
rnacentral:rRNA from 1 species